rnacentral:rRNA from 1 species
GUACCUACGGGGCGCAGCAGUGGGGAAUAUUGGGCAAUGGGCGCAAGCCUGACCCAGCAACGACGCGUGAAGGAAGAAGGCUUUCGGGUUGUAAACUUCUUUUCUGAGGGACGAAGAAAGUGACGGUACCUCAGGAAUAAGCCACGGCUAACUACGUGCCAGCAGCCGCGGUAAUACGUAGGUGGCAAGCGUUAUCCGGAUUUAUUGGGUGUAAAGGGCGUGUAGGCGGGGAUGCAGGUCAGAUGUGAAAACUAUGGGCUCAACCCAUAGCCUGCAUUUGAAACUGUAUUUCUUGAGUGCUGGAG